ACUGUUGAUGAGGGGAGUGGGACCUCAAACCAGCACGUUAUCGUGAUAGAGUCUGCAGAUGCCGAGGCUGCAGGUCCUGGGGUCAAGCAGGAGAGGUCUGAAGGAGAGGAGGACCCACGGCACAGCAGAGACAUCCCGGCUGGAGUGCCCCCUGUGGCCACAGAGGACCCCACCACCACCACCGCUGCGCAGUCCAGAACCCGAUACAGCAUCACGGAGGAUGAGGAGGAUCCAGAAGUGCUGCUGGUGAAGGUGGAGGGGUUAUGAGG